UCCAUGCACCGGGAGCCUGAUGUGGGAUUCGAUCCCGGGUCUCCAGGAUCGCGCCCUGGGCCAAAGGCAGGCGCCAAACCGCUGCGCCACCCAGGGAUCCCUCCAUGUUGGAUGUUGAUCAGCAUCCCUGGCCUUUGUCCACUGGAUGCCAGUAAACAACUCCCAACUGUAACAACCAAGGGUGUCUCCAGAUACUGCCAAAUUUCCCUACCCCCAACAUUGCUCUAAGUUUCUCAGAGUAUAUUCUUUGAAACACUAGUCCUUGACAUGCUCCAUGGGGAGAAAUGCUGUCACAAUCCUCUCUCACAGACUUAUAAUCAAACUUAAAGAAUCUGAGAAGUCCUGCAAUGAAGAAAUCUGCUUAACUUUGGUAAGCUGAGAAUAGCCCAAUUUUAUUUGACCUCAAAAUCUCUUUUUAUGUGACCCUGCUGUUCACCCAAUGUGGAAAGGAGUGCCUGUGCUCUCCCCAACUUGAGGCUCACCACCUUAUUCCCUGGGUGCCCUCUACUUACUCAUGGUUCACAUUACCCAGCUGGAGGUAAGUGAUGGGGUAAAUGGCUCCCAGGCUUACUGGAGGGAGGCACAGAGGCUCAAAAUUUAGUGUCCUGGGCUUUGAUUCUAGGACAGAGUAUAGAACCAAGAGGUUGAAAGGAACACUUGGGUGACUCUAGAGGGAGUUAGGUUGAGGUUCCCAAAUUUUACUAUAUAGUGGAGCCACCUCAAGGGCUUUGAAAAAAACUGCUGCAGCUAAAAACUGUGUUCCUUUCAGCAAAUGGGAUUUUGAGCCUCUGAGUUGUUUGCAGCACUUCAAGAAUGUUGGUAUUUGGAGCAGCCCAUCCCCUUCCUCAUUCAUAUGCAAAUCUUCUCCAACCUGAGGUCUCCUCAGUUUCUCUGGGUAGAUAAUUCUUUCCAAAUUCCUUACUUUUUAUGUUUAAAAGUUCCCCAGGUGUUCCACUCUGCUACAAAAUUGAGGGAUUAGGUUAGUGGUCCUUGAGCUAAACGGAUUCUCAGUAUCCUAUUCCACUCACUAGCAAUGGGUCUCCAGGAGGAGACAUGUGAGGGAAAGGAGGAGUUUUAUCCACUUUGUUGAUGGGAAACUGUUGUGACCGAUGUGAGUGAGAGACUGGAAUAUCCUCACUCCUAACCCAUUGCUCAUGCUGGCUAGAUUUCUGAGCCUUGGGUAACCUCCAGAAGGUGAGUGAAAGGCAGUUGCCCAGCACUUUGCACUUGGUGUGACCCCCAUGAUCCUCGGUACAUGUGUGGCAGACAUUACCAUUUCUUCUGCAGCUUUAGGGACUGGAAUGCCAGGGAUUUAGUAGAGGUUAGCCUGCUAAUAAGAGCCAAGCAGGGACUUCAACACAGACCUCAUGGCUGCAGAUCUCAAACUCCUAGUAGAUCAUGUUGCCAAGUAAGCCUGGCCUCUGAAAAUUAAGUUUAAAAAUGUUUUUUGUGCCUAUUUUCCAGAUUUGGGAAGUUGUUGAGUCUUACCCAAAAUAGUGUCAGAGAUUCCAAAUGAAGGAAAACAAGGAUAGUAUUUUCUCUUACCAAUUAGUGACUACACAUCUAUUCUAUACACAGGAGGAGAGGGGACUGAUGUGCACAUAGAAGCUCAGUAAUUCAUCCCCUUGUUGCCACCCAAAUUUGAUAAAUAGGAAGUUGUUGCUAAUGGGCCUCUGGCCCUUGGGAGUUGUUUUUUUCCUCCAUUUGGUAAAUGCAUCAUGCAGGGCAUCAUGAUAUGCCAUAUGUUUAAGUAAAUAUGAUAACCCCAGGGUGUAGGAUUUUUUUCUUUUUCUUCUUUUUUUUUGGAUGAAAUCAAAUUGAUUUCUGUGACUCCAGACAACUGGAAGACAAAAGGCAGACUCUCCCUAUGUGUGUGUGACAAAUAUUUAACUUGGAUUAAUCUACAUAACAGCAGGUGGGGGCUUUUUGCCAGCUGAGGGAGCUCAGAGGACUUAAUACUACUUAACUAUGUCAACUUUCUCUGUCAAGCAGAAUCUAAAUGGGUGAAAAAUUAGCAAGAAAAGCCAUAAAAUGUCAUUUUUAUGGAGUGGGGAAGAUUUACUUCAAAACAAUGUUUCAUUGUAUGGUGCAAUCUGUCACAGAUUAGCUAACAUUUGGUGGGAGCUAACUUCUUGAGGAACACAGUGAAUUUCGUUCUUCAGGGAGCACUUCCUUUAAACAUCUCCGCUCCUUUUUCCACUCUGCCUCCUUGGGUCCGUCACUAAUGGCUGAGUCUGUUUUCUCUUUGUAGGGAUGAUUUUGGCUUGAGCCUCUAGGGUUUGGCUUUAGAGAGCUAAGCAUUAUCCCUCUCCCAUUUGGCUCUUGGCAUGGCUAACUGGCACUCUUGGUUGCUGGGGUCAACUGAAUCUUCCUACUGAAUUGGCUGAGUCCUAUCCGUAGGCCUGUGUAGGGCCCAUGAGUUAAGGGUCAGGUCAAAUAGAGAAGAAUAUUCACAACCUAAAACAACUAGCUAGUUAAUGGGAACUAAAGUUCCCCAGAAUUAGUUUAGGGAAGGAAUUCCAGUAGGAAAAUCACCUAUGUAAGAACAGGCAUUCUGAGUGUAGCAGAGUAUGCCAAUGAGAGGAACCAGAAUCAAAACAACUCUGAAGAAAAUCUUCUUGCUUUUGUAUACUCAGAUUCUAUUCUUGAACUCUCCCUUUUUCUAAGGACUUUUCAUAAUAUGGAGUGACCUCAGUCUGCACGUGGUGAAUGCUUGACAGAGUCCAGUGUGACUUUGGGCAGCAUGGGGAGUGGCUGAGAGGAGGGCAUGCUGGGGCAAGGUUCUGAUGGAGGAAGGUGGAGACCCUAAGUCCUCACUAACCAGUUUAUUGUCCUUGGAUUGAAUUUUUGAUUCAUCAGAUGGGAAAUGGCUCUUACUAAAAGGCCAGGUCAUUUUCAGAUCCGAAACUACCACAGCAGUUGCUGAAAACCAUGUUCUCUCCAGUGAAUGAGAUUUUGAGCUGUUGUGUUAUUUGCUAUGCACAGAAUGUUUGUGUUUGUAGCUGCCCACCCCCUUCCUCAUUCACAUGCAAAUCUCCUCCAGCCUGAGCUCUUCUCAGUUUCUCUGGGUAAAUAGUUCUUCCAAAUUCCUUAACCCUCUUUGUUCACUCAAACAAUGGCCUUUGUAACCAAGAACAAAGUUAGGAGCAGGUGACAGAUUAUUUUUAAUGCUGUCAAGACAAGUGGCUGUUUAAUUUUUGACAUUUUCUCUCUCUAAGCCUGCCUUUAUUCUUUGCAGAUAUGUUGACUCAGAGCCCUCCAUCAGAAUUCUUCUCACCAUGGCAAGACUGAGCCCAAAUCGUUUUCAGAAACUGGUUAGUCAUCACUCAGGAACACUGUGGAACAGAGUAGAAUUACCAGGUUCUUAGGGGUGGCAGUUUUCCCUGGAACCCCAAUUCUCUGAUUUCUGUAAGAAGAGUCAUUGAUCUCUAGUCUUUAAAGACUUUCUUGUGAGAAUGGAAGGGAAUGAAGAUGCCCAAGGUCUUUAUGUGCUGGAGUGGAAAGCAGACGUUGGAAGGCUCUUUGACAUAUCUGAGCUGAGAUGAAUGAAGAGAAAGAGCUGCCAUGCUCCACACCCAACGUAGAGCCCAAUGCAGGGCUUGAACUCAUGACCCUACAAUCAAGACCUGAGCUGAGCUCAAGAGUUGGAUGCUCAACCGACUGAGUCCCCAGGUACUCCCUAAUUUUGCAUCAUAUUUGUGCUGUGCUCUCCUGCCUGGACUGACUGACUACCUGACCAAGGAAGCUAACCACCUUUCUUCUCUCAUCUCGUGGUUCCUGGAACAUUCCAGAGCAAGUGUGAAGCCUGCAAUGGAAUUGAAUUGGGAUUUUACGCACGAACAAGAUUUCAAUAGCCAUUUAACCCAUCAUGAAACAUAGAUCCAUGAGUUGAGAGUUCAAUGCCUAACCAGUAGAAGAGUCUCUGGACUCCUCUAACUCCCAGGCUCUGAACCUGUCUUGCCUAUGAUCUGCUCUCCUUGGAGACCAGCCGUAUGUGCACAGCUUCCGUUCUGGCUGCCUUGUUGCUGGAGUCUCUGAGCUGCCCCCCGCCUCCCAUGACACCACAGCUAGGAGGCCAGGAGCAGGAUGACUGUCCAUUGCACUCUACAGAACACAAGGCAUCAAAGCCCAGUGUUCCUGGUCCACAGUAUUGCUGCUUUAUUAUUGUCAAUGGAACCUAGGUGUGGCUGGCCUUUCAGUAAAAUGGAGGUAACCUAAUUAAAGGAUUCAGUGGCAAUUGAAUUAUUGUUUUCCAGUGACCAGGCCAAAGAAUCUCCUGGCGGCAGAGGCAGCCUCUCUUGGACUAAGGCUUCUGGAGGAGGCAGCGGGCAGAUUGUAGAUAUCAUCUCUCCUUUUGGAUAUGAACAAGAAAAAUGUUUUGUUUUUGUUUUUUUGUUUUGUUUUGUUUUGUUUUUUGUUUUGUUUUUUUUUAAAAAAAGGUCCAUCACAGAGGACCCGCAUAGAAAUCCAUGUGGGACUGAGCCCUGAGAUCAGAAUACUUAGAGAGGCUCAGGUUCAGAGCUCCUUCCCUUCCAAGCCCGUGGCGGAAAAUUUCAUCUAAUUCCAUUUUACAUCUCUGUCCUGCUGGACUUAAUAACUUGCCUUUCUCCCACUUACCCAGUUGUUUCAAACGACUGAAUCAAGCUGACAUUUUGAUAGUAAACUUCAAGAUGGGGAGAGUUUUCAAAUUUAGCGUCUUUUCCCCUAAUAUGGUUUUCAUUGAUUUGGAGAGUUACUCUUUUACAAUUCCCGGGCAGGGACUGAGACAUUCUUCCCGGAGAGCAGGUGGGGGCAAACACUCUCUUUGUACAAAGAUGGCUUAGAUUUCUUCCCAGCUUCCUCUCCUGCAACAGCUCAGGAAGCAUAAAUGGGUUGGGGGAUGGGGCGUGUGUCGAAUGGAAACAUUUUGUAAUUUCAAAGCAACCGAACAAAAUAGAUCCUUCAGAACGGUUUUAUUUUCUGUGGAGACAGAGUCGUGGGCACAAAACCACCUCCUCUUCUUCAACCUGCAUCUGUAGCCUUUUGCAUUACCCCAUCACCAGCAGAAAAUAGGAUUUCUCACCUACAGAUGGUGAAGAGAGAGGAGGCUAGCCUGAACAUUAGGUAGAAAUUACUUGUCAAGUUUGAUCAAUUCAGAGAAAAUCCAAAUCCCCUUUGAAAAGGCACAGUGGAUAUUCCCAGAUUAGUGGGAUGUCCUUAUAGAUCCAUUGUUUGGGUAAAUUGUCUGCAUAUGCAGCAUGUUUGCUAAAUGAAUGAUGCAUUUGCAUCUAAAUGGUCCAUAAAUAAUUUGAUUCAGCUCCGGACAGGGUCAUAAACAAGCCCCCUCCUCACCAUCGGACUUGUGAGCUGCUUAUGAGUGUGGACUCACUCCUCUCUUAUUGCUUUGUGCUAUUAUUUGACAAGGCACUGGGGAAGGAGUACAUGAAUCUAUUAACGAGAACCAAUCUCCAUUAUGAGCUGAGGUUUGAGGGAGCUGACAGAGAAAUCUUUCAUAAUGUGCUGCUUUUGGCCUCCAGCUCUCUGGGCAAAAAUCUUAAAAAAGAAAUCAGAAAUCAGUGUUGCUGCCACUGUAGAAACUCUGGUUUGCGCGUUGGGGACAGGGUGAAGCAUUAAUUACCAUCUGCAUGCUGCUUUUUACGAGAGCACUGAGUACCUGUGUCUCCCAUCCAGCCCGUUGGUAUUUAUAGCACACGUGCUGUGGAUGUGCGGCCCAACGUCUCCAUUUGAGUUGGUACUCGGAGGAUUUUUACUACUGAGUGGACGCAGCCAGGCAUUAGAGCCACACAGAGCUUUCCUUCCAGUCCAAGCUGAUGGGUUCCAGCUCCCAGUUUGGAAGGCAGGGAGCUGACAAUGGCAUUGACAGUUGCCAGUUACCAUCUGCAGUUAUGUCAUGCCUGUUGUGUCAAAACUGUGACUUUUUAUGGCCAUCUUUCAUGAGAUUUGUGGUGUUCCAUCCUUUUAAAGGCUCCAAGGGGAUGGUAUACCUUGAUUUAAGAAAGCUCAAUAUAUUAAAUCUAGCUUCACGUGAAAGAAAUAUAGAAGCGCACUUACUCACUUUGCAAAAGGAUUCACAAUGGGAUUCUUUCAGUAAUAAAUAUUAUAUGUGGCACUUAGAAUGUGAUUUCGUUUGUUGUUUCAGGAAUAGGGCUAUUGGCAAAAUGCAGCCUACUUAAAGGGUCUUGGUGCUCCUCAAGGCAGAUUACUAACCCCUUGUUCCCCAGGCCCCACCAGCAUGGGGACAGCCCAGAACUCAGAUGACAAUUCCAGUGGUAGCUGCUGCUUAUCACCAGUCUCGUUCUUGAAACUCUGUCGUUCUUUACCAUGACAGCUUAAGAUGCCUCGCUUAGUGCAGAUGCCAGUCCCUUUCCAGUUGUCUUUUUUUUUUUUUAAGAUUUUUAUUUAUUUAUUCAUGAGAGGCACAAAGAGAGGCAGAGACACAGGCAAAGGGAGAAGCAGGCUCUCUGUGGGGAACUUGUUGCAGAACUCUAUACUGGGACCCCGGGAUCAUGCCCUGGGCCGAAAGGCAGACACUCAACCGCUGAGCCACCCAGGUGUCCCACCAGUUUGCCUUCUUGACCAAAGCUAAGUCUGAAAGCCUAUACUACAUACUCCUGCAUGUAGGGCUCUUCAUAUAAUUUAGGGAUUUGAUCCUUAGGCAAGCAUGGAAGAAGGGACAUCUGGCUCUUGUAGGGGAGGAGAGAUCAUUUUCCCUCUACCCUUCUAAGUUCUUAGCUGAGAUGCUUGGAAUAAAAGAUGAACAAGAGAAAUGCAGUUUACAAAUACGUAUACCUCAUGUAUACAUGGGAGAUACUCAGGAGAAAUGAGUAAGCCGAAGAGGUGAUUUUAAAAUUCAGAUUUAAAUACCAUCUUAAGAGGGAAAGGAGGGA